GACGAACGCUGGCGGCGUGCCUAAUACAUGCAAGUAGAACGCUGAAGAGAGGAGCUUGCUCUUCUUGGAUGAGUUGCGAACGGGUGAGUAACGCGUAGGUAACCUGCCUUGUAGCGGGGGAUAACUAUUGGAAACGAUAGCUAAUACCGCAUAACAAUGGAUGACACAUGUCAUUUAUUUGAAAGGGGCAAUUGCUCCACUACAAGAUGGACCUGCGUUGUAUUAGCUAGUAGGUGAGGUAAUGGCUCACCUAGGCGACGAUACAUAGCCGACCUGAGAGGGUGAUCGGCCACACUGGGACUGAGACACGGCCCAGACUCCUACGGAAGGCAGCAGUAGGGAAUCUUCGGCAAUGGGGGCAACCCUGACCGAGCAACGCCGCGUGAGUGAAGAAGGUUUUCGGAUCGUAAAGCUCUGUUGUAAGUCAAGAACGGGUGUGAGAGUGGAAAGUUCACACUGUGACGGUAGCUUACCAGAAAGGGACGGCUAACUACGUGCCAGCAGCCGCGGUAAUACGUAGGUCCCGAGCGUUGUCCGGAUUUAUUGGGCGUAAAGCGAGCGCAGGCGGUUUGAUAAGUCUGAAGUUAAAGGCUGUGGCUCAACCAUAGUUCGCUUUGGAAACUGUCAAACUUGAGUGCAGAAGGGGAGAGUGGAAUUCCAUGUGUAGCGGUGAAAUGCGUAGAUAUAUGGAGGAACACCGGUGGCGAAAGCGGCUCUCUGGUCUGUAACUGACGCUGAGGCUCGAAAGCGUGGGGAGCGAACAGGAUUAGAUACCCUGGUAGUCCACGCCGUAAACGAUGAGUGCUAGGUGUUGGAUCCUUUCCGGGAUUCAGUGCCGCAGCUAACGCAUUAAGCACUCCGCCUGGGGAGUACGACCGCAAGGUUGAAACUCAAAGGAAUUGACGGGGGCCCGCACAAGCGGUGGAGCAUGUGGUUUAAUUCGAAGCAACGCGAAGAACCUUACCAGGUCUUGACAUCCCGAUGCUAUUUCUAGAGAUAGAAAGUUACUUCGGUACAUCGGUGACAGGUGGUGCAUGGUUGUCGUCAGCUCGUGUCGUGAGAUGUUGGGUUAAGUCCCGCAACGAGCGCAACCCCUAUUGUUAGUUGCCAUCAUUCAGUUGGGCACUCUAGCGAGACUGCCGGUAAUAAACCGGAGGAAGGUGGGGAUGACGUCAAAUCAUCAUGCCCCUUAUGACCUGGGCUACACACGUGCUACAAUGGUUGGUACAACGAGUUGCGAGUCGGUGACGGCGAGCUAAUCUCUUAAAGCCAAUCUCAGUUCGGAUUGUAGGCUGCAACUCGCCUACAUGAAGUCGGAAUCGCUAGUAAUCGCGGAUCAGCACGCCGCGGUGAAUACGUUCCCGGGCCU
rnacentral:rRNA from 1 species